UCCGGGAGGGUUUGGGAGGAGCUCGGGCAGCUCGGAGGAGAUUUGGGGGGAGUUUGGGAAAUUUGGGGAUUUUCGGGAAUAUUUUUGGGAAUUUGGAGGAUUUCUUGGGUGAAUUCUGUGGGAAUUCGGGGGUGUUUUUUUUGGGUGAAUUCUCUGGGAAUUCGGGGGUGUUUUUUUGGGUGAAUUCUGUAUAAAUUCAGGGUGAUUUUUGGGUGAGUUCUGUGGGCUUUGGGGGUGUUUUUUGGGUGAAUUCUCCGGGAAUUCGGGGUUUCUCCCCCCGGCAGGAGGAGCUGUCGCGGCUGCGCCGGAAGCUGGAGAAGCAGCGCAAGGUGGAGGUUUACGCCGACGCCGACCAGAUCCUGCAGGAGGAGAUCAAGGAGUACCGGGCCCGGCUGACGUGUCCGUGCUGCAACGCCCGCAAGAAGGACGCGGUGCUGACCAAGUGCUUCCACGUCUUCUGCUUCGAGUGCGUCAAGAGCCGCUACGACACGCGGCAGCGCAAGUGCCCCAAGUGCAACGCCGCCUUCGGCGCCCACGACUUCCACCGCGUCUACAUCAGCUGAGUGACCCUGAGUGACAGCCCAGUGACCACUGAGUGACCACUCACCAUCCCUGAGUGACCGCCCAGUGACCGCUGAGUGACCGCUCACCAUCCCUGAGUGACCGCUCAGUGACCGCUGAGUGACCCUGAGUGACCACUGAGUGACCGCUGAGUGACCGCUGGGUGACCACUGAGUGACUGCUCAUCAUCCCUGAGUGACCGCUGGGUGACUGCUCAGUGACCGCUGAGUGACCACUCAGUGACCACUCAUCAUCCCUGACCACCCCUGAGUGACCCCUGAGUGAGCGCUGAGUGACCACUCACCAUCCCUGAGUGACCGCCCAGUGACCGCUGAGUGACCGCCCAGUGACCCCUGAGUGACCACUGACUUCCCCUGACCACCCCUGACGUCCCCUGAGUGACCACCGAGUGACCACUCACGACCCCUGAGUGACCCCUGACCGCCCCACACCAUUUCUGACCACCCCAGGGUGACCACCGGUCACUUUCAGCCACCCCUGGCCCCCUCCCGGCCACCUUUGGCCGGUCCGGAGUGGUCACCACCCUCCGACCCCUCCCCCCAGCCUUGACCUUUGACCCCUGAGCGUCCCCGCCUGGCCCCGCCCCCUUUCCCCUCUCAGCCAAUAAAAACGCGCGGAAUCGUUC
ensembl:lncRNA